UAGGGGAAAUCUUCCACAAAUGGGCGAAAGCCUGAUGGAGCAACGCCGCGUGUGUGAUGAAGGGUUUCGGCUCGUAAAACACUGUUGUAAGAGAAGAAUGACAUUGAGAGUAACUGUUCAAUGUGUGACGGUAUCUUACCAGAAAGGAACGGCUAAAUACGUGCCAA
rnacentral:rRNA from 1 species